rnacentral:rRNA from 1 species
UGCCAGCAGCCGCGGUAAUACGUAGGUGGCAAGCGUUGUCCGGAUUUACUGGGCGUAAAGGGUGCGUAGGUGGAUAUUUAAGUCAGAUGUGAAACCCCCAGGCUCAACCUGGGAACUGCAUUUGAAACUGGAUAUCUGGAGUGCAGGAGAGGUAAGUGGAAUUCCUAGUGUAGCGGUGAAAUGCGUAGAGAUUAGGAAGAACACCAGUGGCGAAGGCGACUUACUGGACUGUAACUGACACUGAGGCACGAAAGCGUGGGUAGCAAACAGGAUUAGAUACCCUGGUAGUCCACGCCGUAAACGAUGAGUACUAGGUGUAGGAGGUAUCGACUCCUUCUGUGCCGCAGUUAACACAAUAAGUACUCCGCCUGGGAAGUACGAUCGCAAGAUUAAAACUUAAAGGAAUUGGCGGGGGAU